rnacentral:tRNA from 1 species
AGCCUGUUAGCUAAUUUUUUAAAGCGCCGUUCUAAUAACGCGGAGGUCAUGAGUUCGAUCCUCUUACGGGCCA